rnacentral:rRNA from 1 species
GUGGGGAAUAUUGGACAAUGGGCGAAAGCCUGAUCCAGCCAUGCCGCGUGUGUGAAGAAGGUCUUCGGAUUGUAAAGCACUUUAAGUUGGGAGGAAGGGCAGUAAGUUAAUACCUUGCUGUUUUGACGUUACCGACAGAAUAAGCACCGGCUAACUUCGUGCCAGCAGCCGCGGUAAUACGAAGGGUGCAAGCGUUAAUCGGACUUACUGGGCGUAAAGCGCGCGUAGGUGGUUUUGUAAGUUGGAGGUGAAAUCCCCGGGCUCAACCUGGGAACUGCCUCCAAAACUACUGAGCUAGAGUACGGUAGAGGGUGGUGGAAUUUCCUGUGUAGCGGUGAAAUGCGUAGAUAUAGGAAGGAACACCAGUGGCGAAGGCGACUACCUGGACUGAUACUGACACUGAGGUGCGAAAGCGUGGGGAGCAAACAGGAUUAGAUACCCGAGUAGUCC